GGGUUACUUCAACUUGAUUGGUUUAUUGAUGGGUUGGUUAGGUCAAGUGGUAUUGGACCAUGCAAUCAUUACCAUGAAGAAGGGGGAGAUGGCAUUGUUGACGCUGCCUCUGAUUUGGGUUAUGAACCACAGAUGUUUGCAAGGAUGGUGGAAUUAUUAAGAAAGUGAUGGAGAAGGGAGAACAAAUUAGCCCACCCAGUGAUUUAGAUUAUGUUCUCGGUAAUAUAACUUGUCUGUUUAUUAUUAAUUAUUUGAUUCCAUGUGAUUUUCAUUGAUGACAAGUUCUAUGUUUUUAGGUUGUUUAGGCUUAGGGCCGGCCUUGAGGCACUGCGAGCAAGGCUACCACCUCGGGCCCCCAAAUUUUGUCUAAAAAAUAGGACCCCCAAAUAAUUUUCGAUCUUAAGUUAUGUUUGGUUCAUUGAAAUUAAAAAAUAAAAUAAAAUGAAAAUCACUCCAACAUAAUGUCCAAAAAGACUAAUAAGAAAUGAUCAUUCUAUUUAAUUUCAUUUCAUUUCAAU